GAUGAACGCUGGCGGCGUGCCUAAUACAUGCCAGUCGAGCGAACGGACGAGAAGCUUGCUUCUCUGAUGUUAGCGGCGGACGGGUGAGUAACACGUGGAUAACCUACCUAUAAGACUGGGAUAACUUCGGGAAACCGGAGCUAAUACCGGAUAAUAUUUUGAACCGCAUGGUUCAAAAGUGAAAGACGGUCUUGCUGUCACUUAUAGAUGGAUCCGCGCUGCAUUAGCGAGUUGGUAAGGUAACGGCUUACCAAGGCAACGAUGCAUAGCCGACCUGAGAGGGUGAUCGGCCACACUGGAACUGAGACACGGUCCAGACUCCUACGGGAGGCAGCAGUAGGAAAUCUUCCGCAAUGGGCGAAAGCCUGACGGAGCAACGCCGCGUGAGUGAUGAAGGUCUUCGGAUCGUAAAACUCUGUUAUUAGGGAAGAACAUAUGUGUAAGUAACUGUGCACAUCUUGACGGUACCUAAUCAGAAAGCCACGGCUAACUACGUG
rnacentral:rRNA from 1 species